rnacentral:rRNA from 1 species
GAUGAACGCUAGUACCGCAUAAUGUACGAAGAUCGCAUGUUUUUCGUACCAAAGAUUUAUUGCUGAUAGAUGGGCUCGCGUCUGAUUAGGUAGUUGGUGGGGGUAACGGCCUACCAAGCCGACGAUCAGUAGCCGGACUGAGAGGUUGAACGGCCACAUUGGAACUGAGAAACGGUCCAGACUCCUACGGGAGGCAGCAGUGGGGAAUAUUGGGCAAUGGGCGCAAGCCUGACCCAGCGACGCCGCGUGAGGGAAGACGGUCUUCGGAUUGUAAACCUCUUUCAGCAUGGAAGAAGCAUGACGGUACAUGCAGAAGAAGCCACGGCUAACUACGUG